CCUACGGGGGGCAGCAGUGGGGAAUAUUGGACAAUGGGGGGAACCCUGAUCCAGCCAUGCCGCGUGUGUGAAGAAGGCCCUCGGGUUGUAAAGCACUUUCAGUGAGGAAGAACGCCUGGUGGUUAAUACCCAUCAGGAAAGACAUCACUCACAGAAGAAGCACCGGCUAACUCCGUGCCAGCAGCCGCGGUAAUACGGAGGGUGCGAGCGUUAAUCGGAAUUACUGGGCGUAAAGCGCGCGUAGGUGGCUUGAUAAGCCGGUUGUGAAAGCCCCGGGCUCAACCUGGGAACGGCAUCCGGAACUGUCAAGCUAGAGUGCAGGAGUGGAAGGUAGAAUUCCCGGUGUAGCGGUGAAAUGCGUAGAGAUCGGGAGGAAUACCAGUGGCGAAGGCGGCCUUCUGGACUGACACUGACACUGAGGUGCGAAAGCGUGGGUAGCAAACAGGAUUAGAUACCCUAGUAGUC
rnacentral:rRNA from 1 species